GAUGAACGCUAGCGGCAGGCUUAACACAUGCAAGUCGAGGGGCAGCAUAAUGUAUAGCAAUAUAUAUGAUGGCGACCGGCGGACGGGUGCGUAACGCGUAUGCAACCUUCCCUGAACAGGGGGAUAAUCUGGAGAAAUCCGGUCUAAUACCCCAUAACAUUAGUAACGGCAUCGUUGUUAGUUGAAAUUUUUGGAGGUUCAGGAUGGGCAUGCGUAGCAUUAGCUUGUUGGUGAGGUAAUGGCUCACCAAGGCGACGAUGCUUGGGGGGACUGAGAGGUUAACCCCCCACACUGGGACUGAGACACGGCCCAGACUCCUACGGGAGGCAGCAGUGAGGAAUAUUGGUCAAUGGGCGGAAGCCUGAACCAGCCAUGCCGCGUGCAGGAUGACGGCUCUAUGAGUUGUAAACUGCUUUUGUACGAGGGUAAAGUGAGGCACGUGUGCCUUUUUGAAAGUAUCGUACGAAUAAGGAUCGGCUAACUCCGUGCCAGCCGCCGCAGUAA
rnacentral:rRNA from 1 species